rnacentral:rRNA from 1 species
GACAGAGGAGGCAAGCGUUGUCCGGACUGACUGGGCGUAAAGCGUCCGCAGGUGGUCGUGCAAGUGCGCUGUGAAAGCGGCCCGCUCAACGGGCCGAGGCCAGCGCAGACUGCGCGACUCGAGGUCGGGAGAGGUCGGUGGAAUUGCCGGUGUAGUGGUGGAAUGCGUAGAGAUCGGCAGGAACACCCAAGGGGAAGCCAGCCGACUGGCCCGCACCCUGACACUCAGGGACGACAGCGUGGGGAGCGAACCGG